UACACCAUGGCACAUUUACACACACACACACAUAUACACACACAUACACUCACUUACACAGACACUCUGCAUACAUACAAACAUACAUACAUACAACAUACAAAUUCUUACAGUGUAGAGAACACAGCCUGGAGUUGUCUUACUGACUGGCUGUGUCAGGCUCUGCAUAUUUCAUUAUCACAUCAUCUGAUUUCUAACGCAACUCUAAAGCAAGGGUGAUUGAAUCAUGGUCACAUGGAAACCCUGGAGUCAACUGUAUGGAGGCCUGAACAAGCUGUCCAGAAAUAUACGUCUGUGUGUUGUGGUCCAUCAGACUAGCUGGGUGCUGUCUGAUAUGUUUGAUAUUCGGUUGUUCUCCUACAUAUCAAGUCAACUAAAUAUCAAACAUAUUCCUACAGAGCCCAGUAUCUAUCUACAAAUCGGACCAAUAAGAGUGGGGCUGAGAGAGACCAGGAGAAUUUGGACUGUUAAAUCCGCCAGUGAGUUCUACAGACAUCUGUGAAAGUUGUUCUCUGCUGUAGAAAUAUGAACAGUAAUCUAACCUCAUGUUGAGGUCUUUUGUCUUUGUGCAUAUCGCUGGAAGAAGUUCACAUUUAUUUGAUGGUCACCAAAUGUACAGGAAGGGUAGUGGAGAAAGGCAAGACAUCACAUGAUUAAUUCAGCCGUCUUCAGAGGUCUGGCGAGCCAAGCAGCCUCUCUCUCUUUCACUUAAUGUUUCACUGAGAGUGGCAUUUUAUUUAGCCAUUUAGCCAAGUCAUUUUGUGCAGAGCUUUCAUUUAGAAGGUAACCUUGUAAUGUUUCAGUGGUGUACAAAAAAUAAUGAUACGCUGACCUUAUUUGAAUUUGUUUAAUGUGUAAAUAAACAUUAGAAACAAA